rnacentral:tRNA from 1 species
GCCGCCGUGGCGGAAUGGUAGACGCCACAGACUUAAAAUCUGUUGAUCGUAAGGUCGUGCCGGUUCGAGUCCGGCCGGCGGCA